rnacentral:tRNA from 1 species
GGGGAUGUAGCUCAAUUGGUAGAGUGCUAAUCAAUGCGGAACAGAGGCACAGGGUUUGAUUCCUGGCAUCUCCA